UACAGAGGUGGCGACCGUUGUUCGGAAUCACUGGGCAUAAAGCGCGUGUAGGCGGCAUCGUAAGUCGGGUGUGAAAUCCCUCGGCCCAACCGAGGAAUUGCGCCCGAAACUACCUUGCUUGAGGACCAGAGGGGAGCCUGGAAUUCCUGGUGGAGCGGUGAAAUGCGUUGAUAUCAGGAGGAACACCGGCGGCGAAGGCGAGGCUCUGGCUGGUUACUGACGCUGAGACGCGAAAGCUAGGGGAGCAAACGGG
rnacentral:rRNA from 1 species